UGAAAAUAGAGGCAACGUUAGCUUUUUUUUUUCGUUUUCUCGGUCCUCCUCUUCACCUGCUUCUGCUUCAACCAUCGUCAUCGUCGCUGCUCCUUCUGCCAUCGCCAUCGCCAUCGUCGUCGUUCCUUCUGCCAUCGCCGCCGUUCCUUCUGCCAUCGCCGCUUCUGAGAUGAAGAAUGUAGUCUCAAGGUUAUUCCAUAUUGUUCGCCCCCCAUCAACCCACACAACCAGAAGCUUCGAGUUGCCCUAAUUUGAAGAAAUCGUUCAAUGAUUCUGCUUAAUUCAAGUUUCCGAGGGAGCGACAUUAAAGAAAAAUCACAGCACCUGAAACGGAGAAGACGACCAUAGUAGGAGAAGCAAAGCUACGUGAGAAAAGGAGGCAACACCAACCAUCAUUAUUCCAGUUCGUUGCUUCACGUGUAGUAAGCUUGCCCCCGAUACAGAAAGAAACAAGAUACACACUCAUCAGAUCUUACUGUUGGUACAAAUCAUAAUCAUGGUGACGGAUUCAAUUCUGAUUCCGUGGAUCCGCCUGCAAUGCUUAUGCCUAGCUUAGGACCUUCUAGGUUGGUUAGGGAAAUAAAUCUGGAAGUGAAGAUGGUUUAGGUGUGGGGAAACAUGAUGAGUACAAUAGAAAUUAAAGGCAAAGAACUUCUGGAUGCAAAUGUUUUAACCCUUGCUGACCUCUAUGAAUGGUUGAAAGCAAAGAACAACGAUGAAGCACCCAUUAUCGGUGUUGGUCUUCAUAGUUAUUUAGGUUUGUAUACUUUCAUUAUCGAGCGCUCCCUUCAUUUACCUUCGUUCCCUUCCUUCUUCGUCUUCCUUCCCUUCCUUCCCUUCUUUCUUCCAUACAGAUAAUGAUGAUUGGUCGUUUACUUUGUGGCAUUGGAAUUGACUUAUCAUCUGCCUUAGUUCCAUUAUACAUUUCUGAGGUAAUAUCAUAUAUGUUUUCUGUCUGUCUAUUUUGAAUCUGUCAGGUCACGGAGACUAAACAUGUCCUAAUUUGCAGAUCUCUCCAACUAAAAUUUAGGUGCACUUGGUUCCUUCAACCAGAUUUUAUAUGCAUUGGUAUUUUUGCUGCUUUGGUUGCUGGAUUGCCUUUAGCAGGAAGCCCUUUGUGCCUGAGGUUGAAGAUGUAACAAUGGUGUGUUUUCAAGACACAGUAAAGUUGUUCUUCCAGAUUACUUAAUAAGAGUUGAAGUGGGGUUAAUUUUUUUGAUUUUACUUCAGGUAUCAUCUUCAGGAUUCUUCAACCAUUUAGCGUCUGCUUGCUGCAAAUUUUGUUGGAUCUGACCAGAUUGUGGUAUUCAAUAAUCCGAGGGAGCGAUCUUUCACCUUUGAGGAAAUAGAUGAAGUUCGAGAAUUGUUGGCAAACUUCAUUACCAGUGAUUGUUUUUGAUAUUUUCUUGUUUUGAAUCUUAAAUUACGGAUGCUAGCUAUUUUUUCAUAUGCUUAUAAUGUAAUCGACUUUUAUAUUUACAAUUAUAUACUAUUUAAUUUAA